AGGAGCUUGCUCUUCCUGAUUAGUGGCGCACGGGUGAGUAUACCAUAGAUAAUGUACCCCUUAGUUUGGGAUAGCCACUGGAAACGGUGAUUAAUACCAGAUACUCCUUCUUGUCAUAAGGCAAGUCGGGAAAGUUUUUUCGCUAAGGGAUCAGUCUAUGUCCUAUCAGCUUGUUGGUGAGGUAACGGCUCACCAAGGCUAUGACGGGUAUCUGGUUUGAGAGGAUGAUCAGACACACUGGAACUGAGACACGGUCCAGACUCCUACGGGAGGCAGCAGUGAGGAAUAUUGCACAAUGGAGGAAACUCUGAUGCAGCAACGCCGCGUGGAGGAUGACGCAUUUCGGUGUGUAAACUCCUUUUAAGAGGGAAGAUUAUGACAGUACCUCUUGAAUAAGCACCGGCUAACUCCGUGCCAGCAGCCGCGGUAAUACGGAGGGUGCAAGCGUUACUCGGAAUCACUGGGCGUAAAGGGUGCGUAGGCUGGCUUUUAAGUCAGGUGUGAAAUCCAAUGGCUCAACCAUUGAACUGCACUUGAAACUGGGAGCCUAGAGUUCAGAAGGGGCAGAUGGAAUUAGUGGUGUAGGGGUAAAAUCCGUAGAUAUCACUAGGAAUAUCAAAAGCGAAGGCGAUCUGCUGG
rnacentral:rRNA from 1 species